UCCUGUCAAUAUCCGGGCAUUUCCAGGACACUUCCUGUUGAUUUGGGGUCAUUCUUGGAUCAAUUCUUGUCCAUUUCAGGUCACUCCUGAUGAAUUUAGGGUAUUUCCAGGUCACUUCCUGUUGAUUUUGGGUGACUUCCUGUUCAUUUUGCGACUUAUGGAUUUUAGCACUUGAGUAGUAACUGCUACAAAAAAACAAAAAAAAAACCUUCAUUAAUUCCACUCGUACUGUGUAAAUAUGUCAUCGCACGAUGAAAAGCCAUCAAAGCGCUUAGAAGAAGGUUGAUGCAGAAAUGCUAAGCUUAGCCGAAUCAUGGGAAGCUUGAAAAAGAAAAAAAAAAUCAAAGCUUUAAAAUGACCUUCCGCUUGCCCGACGGCGACGGCUGUGGCGGCGGCGUCUCCUUUCUGAUUCAUGCUCUUCUUCCUUUUGUUCUUCUUGCGGUCGCUCAUGGGAGAUGAUUGGCCGGCGUCUUUUCCGGAAAAAGGUCCCGACGUCCCUUCGAGGGCAUCUGUUGUCAGGGGAAAAAAGACUGAACACCAGAAGGACGGCGUCCACCCAGCCGCAGAACUGCAGGGGGCACACGACCGGGUGAGACAAGGGUGCGUUCACGCUCGUUGCCAACGCCUUCACAAACCUGCUCGUCGGGGGCCCCGGCUUCCUCUCGGAUCAGUAACAGUUGGCGUUUUGCAAGUGGGUCUUACCAUCGGGUUUCUCCAGCGCAACGUAGCUGCCGGUGAUGUAUUUGGUCACCAGGGCGGACUUGCCACUUUUCAGGCUUCCCAGAAUACCCUGCGAGAAAUAAACGGGAUAUGAAAGACAUAUCGUUGCUAGCACAAUCACUGGUCGUUUCCUAUAUAUUUAGGCAGUUUCUGUUGGCUUUUGGUCACUUCCUGUUGACCUUGUGGCACUUACAGGACCCGAAAUCCAAAAGCGUAGGUUUGCAUAGGGACAGUAGGGACAUAACACUACCAACUUUUCGGGGUGCUCAAAUUGUCCCCACCAACUUUUAACUUUUAAGCAACCUCAUUUGCAUUAUAUAAAGAGUUCAGUUAUAUAGGUAAUUUAAAUUGUAUACCCAUAUGCUGUAAUAAUAGAACUGACCCUACCAUUAUUAAGGGAUUUUUUUUUUUUUUCAUUAUGUUCAGACUUACAUUUAUCCCUUUUCACUUGCUGAAUGUGCCGGUCUAUUCACCCCCCGCCCCCCCAAACAAACGUUUUUUUUUUUUUCCCGGCCAGCAGCAUCCACUGUAAGUCAUGUAAAAAGACGUAAAUGCUGUGGCAGUGGGGGAAACACCACGCUACUGAAAGUCCGACCUGCAUCAGAGUUAGCGUAACACUACUGCGGUCAGGCCAGCCUCCACAAGGAACAACAAAGUCAAGCUAGCUGUCCCUUAUUUGGAUCAUUGUUUACAUUAUGUGCAUUACGGUAAUAUCGUCCCUACCAAUAUUGAGACUAAAUCUACGUCCUAGCCGAAAUCAACAAAAGGACAUCCAUAAAUUCCCCAAAAUCAACAGGAAGUGACCCAGAAGUGCUGCUAAAUCAACAGGAAGUAGAUUUGAAUAUAAAAGUGACCCAAAAAUCAACAAGAAGUGACCCAGAAAUGCCUAGAAAAUCAACAAGAAGCCAUCAAAACUAUGUUGAUUACAAUAUAAAAAAUUGACCCCUAAUCAAUAGGAAGUGAUCCACCAAUAGGAAGUGAUCCACCAGCAGUGUUGUUAAUCUUACUUUAAAAAAGUGAUUAAUUACAGUUCCAAAUUACUUCUCCCAAUAAGUAAUUGCGUUAGUAACUCAGUUACCUGAAUGUAAGAGUAAUUAGUUACUUGGCAAAGUGACUGGUGAUAAUUUUCAUGUUUUUUUUUCUCAAAAAAAUAAAAAUAAAAAAACAGGUUACACAAUGUGAAGUUUAUAGGGUUUUUGGGAAAAUUGGCCCUAGCCCAAUUCUUUACCUUAAACUUAAUUAGACACCAGGGUAUUGCUGAUAUUGCGAUAACUAGAUAGUAACCUUUGCUAUGUGUGGAAUUCAUUUAAUGUUGUGAAUCAACCGUUAAAGUUGUUAAAAUUGCUCCCGUUAUUGCAUUAGUUCCCUUCUGUCUACUUUCGACAUGUGUAAGUUUUAAAACUGUUUCAUCAUUUAAAGAUAGAUUUAAGUCAAGAUUUUGCCGAUUUAGGAGCAUUUUAGAUAAAAAGUUACUUAGCUAGUUCGCUAGGAAGGUUCUCUACAACAGAGCCUUCCUGAAAAGUCUACUGCUUUAAGAUGGUGGCUGUUUACUAACGCAUCUAGUUCUUUAUACAUGUUGCUAAUGCCGCCGUGUCUGUCAUUUGCAUGUAGUUCUAUAGUAUGUGAUAUCUACCGUAGCAUCAUGUGGGCAUAGUUUGUAGGCUAUCGGCUACAGUCAGUUAUUAUUGGAGCCAUCUAGCAUCACGUUUCCAACGGCGUUAAAACUCCCUUGCCUCCUCCCCACUCCUGCUCUACUCUGUCGUCUCCGUGAGUCCGUCUGUCUCAGACUUUUCUUGCGUUCUUCAACUAACAUAGUAACGCAUAGUAACGCACGCCUUUCCCGCCUCAGUAACGGUAACGGCGUUGCCAAAAUGAGAAAAGUAAUUAAUUAGAUUACUAACUACGGAAAAAAAAUAACACUGUAAGAUAAGCUUGUUUUUGUAUGCCAAAUAUAUUAUGCCAGUUUGCUCUCCCACAACUAUUAUACACGCACUCCCAAGCUAAUAUGAAGAAUACAGUUUUAGCCCAUAAUCAUGUGCUUACAUUUUUAUUACCGGCAAUUGCUCACAUUCUGCUGAUAAAUAGAUACACACACAUAUGUUGAGUCAUCACACAACGUCUCAGUACUUUUCCACCAAGCUACAGUACUUUGAGUGCAAAUGUGUGUUCAAAACAAAGAUAUCUUGCCCGCUCAAGAGUGUGACUGUUAAUUCAAUCAAGAGUGUGACUGUUAAAUCAAUGACUAGAAUAAGGAACUUGCCCGAUCAAAACUGCCACGUUGGACAACAGUGUUGUAACUAUAUUCUGCCCAGCAACAAGCCCUCAAUAAAAGUUAGCAGCGCGGGGGAGCUCGGAGAGAGACUUCGAUGAGACAGCAAUGGUCACGGAACUCUGUCUCCUGGCUCUCCCAACCUGCAGGUUGAAAAACGUCAACUCUCUGACUCUGCCUCACUUCGUGCCCUGCCUUUUGUCAGCUUGCCUUGGGUAAAUAACUAAGUUAAAGAACGAGUUUUAGACCCAACAAACACCUUUAGUAACACCGUUACAUUCUAAAGCCGUUAUUAACAACACUGCCCACCAGUGCCCCAUAAUCAACAAGACAUUUCCUAGCAAUGACUUAAUACUCAAAAGGGAGUGACCCAGAAAUGCCCCCACCCCCCAAAAAAUGAACACAAAGUUAUCAAAAUUAUAUGUGUUGAUUUGAAUAUAAAAGUUGUUGAAAUUCGCCCCCCCGGCCAAGACGCACGAAAACAGCGACAGCCAAAACAAGUACCGCUCGGCCGAUGCUGCCUCGCGUUCGCCAACCGGGAAGGCAGAACUUCGCGCGUCCACCUCUGAAAUUAACCCUUUGUACUCCAUGACUCCAUGUUCCAAAAGUUUAAAAAAGACUUGCCGAAAGCAGGUUGACAAUUUAUUCGUCGACAAUGGUCAAAAACAAAGCAAAAACAGACGACGGAGGGACAAUUCUGGAUCCAAAACAAGGCUACAUGUUUCCGAGCAGCAAAAAUCUGUGUUAUCUCAGUGUACAGUCUUUUUAAAGUCUUUGGUGAAGCGGGCCGUGUCGAAGGUGUGUCUGGGCGUUGCUUUUGGGUCUUCCCCUCUGUGGCCGGUUUUGGGCGGCUUAGGUUCGUGCGUGGAUGGGACGCCCGCUAUCAACUUUGUUGUCCGGGCUGGCUGUACUUGUUUUAGGACAAAGCGCUUUGUCCUCGGAGUUUGCUGGGAAAGCUGAUUGCAAGAGUUGAUGCGUCAAUCUUGUUCGUGACGCACGCGUUGGGCUUCUGUGAUAAGACGGCAUUGUGUAUCUCUUCUAUUUCUUCUCAUUAAACUAUGGUGUGCUAUUUAUUUUAUAUUAGUAGUGCAGUCCUACCGUAAAUAUGAAAAUGAUACUAUUUCCUGAUUAAUUAUAUUACGUGUGUUAGGGUAAUGCAAACAGUUAGACGGUGCCUACAAGAAACUGUACCAUUUUUCUCAUCUCCCCCUCAUUAGCCCGGAUAAGGUGAUUCACUUUACUGUGUCAAAGGGCAUGUAGUGGAGUCUGCUUAAACAAUAGUUUGAUGAAUGUGUUAGACUAAUGCAAACAAUUAUAUGGUGUGUGCGAUGACGGUGCCUUUUCUCUUCAAAGUGAACCAAAAUCCACAGGAAGUCAUUCAGAAAUACACUGAAAUCAACAGGAAGUGACCCGUAAGUGCCCCACGGCCAACAGUAAGUGACCCAAAAAUCAACAGGAAGUAACCCGGAAAUGCCCCAAAAAAUUAACAGAAAGUGAUCAAAAGAAUAUGUGAUUUGAAUAUAAAAGUCACCCAAAUCAACAGGAAGUCAACCGAAAUUCUGAUGAGAUAAUUAUUAAGAUGUUUAUUAUGUAGUUGCAUUAAUCCUAUAUAUUUGCUUUAAUCAACUGCUGCUCGCAAUGAAUGUUUUUGCUGAUUAUGGCUCACAAAGAACAAAUGUCUGCCUUAAAGAAGCCUUGAAGAUUCUUUCCUGUUCAAGGACUGAGAUAACAGAGACAGCCUUGCUUUGCUGGAAAUGUGCUGACACACAUGUAUUAAUAUUGUAUGGAACAUGUAUUAAUCCCACCUACAUGCAUACACAUAGCCAAACAAAUUCAUAGAGGUGUCGUCCGCUCUGCUCCCUUCCUUUUAAGGAUGACACUCUCUCUUGUUGGGUUUUUUUCAGAACGAUUGUGGAAACUGUAUUUUGUAGUGUAGUAUUGCAU